UACAAACUAUAGCUUUCAUGAUUUCAUAGCAUGUAACCAUGGCAGCUGAAAGGUAUCAAACUGCAUUAAGUCUACAGCCUAGAAAGUUGACGCUACCAAUUUCAUUCUCUCAGUCUCUAAGUUGCUACAAAAUCCGUUUGCAUGGUGAUAUUCCAGACUAACACAGCUUUGUGUUUGAAUUUGAUUAACAAAGCCUCUCACAACAUUCCUUUUUACAAGUACCUUUUAUGUCUGUCCAGCAGCUACCUUUCUUCCUCAUACUUUACCUUGUUGGAUUUUUCUUUUAGGCAGCAUCAGCAUUGAGAGAAUUGUGAAGGAGGCUGAAGAAAAACAUUACGUUUGGUGUCAGAAUGACUGUCUUGGAAAAAACAAUGCAAUGAAGUUUGAAUGGGAAAAAAUAUUAUUCUUCUCUGUCUGUUCCUACUGUAUCUGUGAUUACCAGGUUGGCAGAAGCUGGGGCUAACAGUGGGAGGUCACCCCGCUCACCGGAUUUGAACUGCCAACCUUUUGGUCAGCAAGUUCAGCAGCUCAGCGGUUUAACCCACUGCAUCAUCAGGGGCUCCAACCAAUCAAUAUACAUUUUGCUAAAAGCUUGCUUUAUACUGCAGUUGUAAGCAGAAAUUAGAACUUGAAAAAGAGAAAACCAGACAGUCUGUGUAUGAUGACCGUGACCCCGGCUUUCAAAUUGAUUUGAACCCGCAGCGGAGAGUUCCGCAGAUUCAUCACCAAAAGGAACGGAGCGGGACCGCAGCAGACUAUUAUUAAAAGAUCUUUUUUUCUUCACUUUCCCCUUCCCUGAACUAUGUAACAAAUCCCCCCAAUAAAAGUAGCAUUCAUUUUUAACAGUAA